AGCCCUUGAUACCAAAACCUGCCACGUAAACCCACUACAUCGGCCUAAGUUUGUUUAUGCUUUUGCCCAUUAGAAUAUAUUAUGUGCUCAUAUUACACUGACUGUGAACUUAAUCUGGUGUUUUUACUUAUUAUGACCAUCAUUUUGUACGUCGGGAACUUUACAAUGGAAACUAUUAACAAAUACACACCGUGGAACAUCCUGUGGUUUUAUCUGUAUGACAACAGGGAUGACGUGAAGAAGUUUGAUGCAAAAUCUGCCGUGACCCUGGCACAGUUCAAGCUUUUUAAUGUAGUUACUAGUUUAGUUAACUGAAUGCCUUAACAAUGUAGUGUGAUGGAAUGACAACCAAAACUGGAAUAUAAUAUGAUGAUCGGUAGUGACUUGCGUCAAAGCACUUAAUAUUAAAAGGUGAGAAAAGUAAACUAUGAGGCAGGUGAAUGACUUGCCAAUAGUAAACAAGUGAAAUGAUUCAGGAGCAUAUAUUUCUUUUCCUAAGACCAUAAUUGUAAUUCUGACUACAUAUUUGA